rnacentral:rRNA from 1 species
GACGAACGCUGGCGGCGUGCUUAACACAUGCAAGUCGAACGGAAAGGCCCUGCUUUUGUGGGGUGCUCGAGUGGCGAACGGGUGAGUAACACGUGAGUAACCUGCCCUUGACUUUGGGAUAACUUCAGGAAACUGGGGCUAAUACCGGAUAGGAGCUCCUGCUGCAUGGCGGGGGUUGGAAAGUUUCGGCGGUUGGGGAUGGACUCGCGGCUUAUCAGCUUGUUGGUGGGGUAGUGGCUUACCAAGGCUUUGACGGGUAGCCGGCCUGAGAGGGUGACCGGCCACAUUGGGACUGAGAUACGGCCCAGACUCCUACGGGAGGCAGCAGUGGGGAAUAUGGCACAAUGGGCGGAAGCCUGAUGCAGCAACGCCGCGUGCGGGAUGACGGCCUUCGGGUUGUAAACCGCUUUCGCCUGUGACGAAGCGUGAGUGACGGUAAUGGGUAAAGAAGCACCGGCUAACUACGU